ensembl:ncRNA lncRNA:CR45565 long non-coding RNA:CR45565
UGUCGAAUUCAUUUAAUCCUAAAUACUUGUACAUAUAUUUAGGAUUCGAAUAUGUUUUUGGCGAGUGUAGGCAUGCGGCUAGUGCGUGCCUUCGAGCUGGCUGAGAGGACCGACGGGGCGAAGGGGGCCAGGCGCUGUAAAAGGGGAGCAGGCUUUAAGCCAAAACAACAACAGGUAGAAAUCAAAUAGAAAACGGAAUAGACGAGAGACAAGGCGAACGGAGGAAAUAGCGAGGGCAGCGCAGCGGCAGAGCAGCGGCAGCAUGACGAGCAGCAGGCACUCGCACAGAUACCCGCACACACACGCGCCUAGACAGGCGAGCACACAAAUGCCGAGACACCAACACAUGGGCACACCCGAGCAAAGUAGAGAGGAGAGCUCGGUUUGCCUAUGUGCCAAGGCACUUCGAGUUUCAUUUUAUGUUUUGACCCCUUUUAAGUUCAAGAACCCUUUUCCUCACAACAUCGCAACACACAUGCGCAGGGCCGCCCUCUCUCACUCGCUCUCGAUCUCCAACGCCAACUGAGCGAUCGUUGGAGAGUUUCGGGCUCGACUCUGCCCCACUCUGCUCUAACCAAUACCAGGAAACUCAAUAGCUCGGAGAGAGCCUGAGAGCCAACUCUCCAAGCGGAAAGCUCAGCUCAGUGGAGACUUGGGGAGCAGGGAUUGUUAUUGUUAUGAGGUGGGAUUUCCAAGUUGUUUUUUUUUCUUGGGCGCAACAAGUGUAUUUCGACUUUUGAUUUAUGCCUGC